CACCUGCUCUCGGGGGCCGCCUCCCCCGAAGCAGCGCCCCACGCAGUCUCUCCCGGCAGCCAAAUGGGCGACUCCUCUCCUCUGAGCCCGAGCUUCUGAAAGAAAACAAAGUUACUGAAAACUCAGACUUUACAGAAAUGCACAAAUUAGAAUGGAAGGAAUCACCAAAGCCCCACCUCCAGAUAAACUUGUACAGACGCCAAUCUGUCUGGACGCCCCCUUCGCAUGGGUGGAUGAGGCUGAAUCGACCACUGUGACAGGUGACUGCCGUCAGGGCUCUAGUCUACAAUUCUCCAUGAACCUGGGGGUGCUGCUUCAGAAAGAGCCUAAAAAGUGUGUCCACUGGAUCAAAGGGCACCCGUGUCCACAGAUUCAGCAGUUACUGAGCAGAAAUCCUGCACUCAGCUUCUGGCUCCUCUUUGACUCCAGAGAGAGGCGUUGCCAUUUCCAGGUGGAAGUACCCUUUUUCUCCUGGUUCGGGUGCAACGUGUUCAAGAAAGUCUCGGGUCCUGUUUCUUCUCCCGAUGCCCUGCUGGCUGGGCGGUCUUAG
ensembl:lncRNA